UGUAAGCGUAUACCAAAGUUGUUGCAGUUAAAACGCUCGUAGUCGGAAUUUGGCAGUUCCGGAUGUGUGCACGUCGUGUGCGCACUUCGCGGGGAUUGCUUUUGUGGUCUUGCGUAGGAUGAGGCACUUUUAUUAGUGAACGUCCUCACGCAACCACUUUUUACUGUGAGAAAAUCAGAGUGCUCAAAGCAGGCAUUUGCCGUGAAUGUAUUAGCAUGGAAUAAUAGAAUAGGACUUGGUUCUAUUUUGUUGGUUUGUUGGGACUGAGUAAUGAUUAAGAGGGACAGUUGGGGGCAUUUGUAUUUCGGUGCUAGAGGUGAAAUUCUUGGAUUACCGAAAGACAAACUGCUGCGAAAGCGUCUGCCAAGGAUGUUUUCAUUGA
rnacentral:rRNA from 1 species